UACGUAGGGGGGCAAGCGUUGUCCGGAUUUAUUGGGCGUAAAGAGCGUGUAGGCGGCCUUACAGGUCAGCUGUGAAAACUCGAGGCUCAACCUCGAGACGUCGGUUGAAACCGUAAGGCUAGAGUCCGGAAGAGGAGAGUGGAAUUCCCGGUGUAGCGGUGAAAAUGCGCAGAUAUCGGGAAGAACACCCGUGGCGAAGGCGGCUCUCUGGGACGGUACUGACGCUGAGACGCGAAAGCGUGGGGAGCGAACAGG
rnacentral:rRNA from 1 species